rnacentral:rRNA from 1 species
GAAUUUUGGACAAUGGGCGAAAGCCUGAUCCAGCCAUGCUGCGUGAGUGAAGAAGGCCUUCGGGUUGUAAAGCUCUUUCGGCGGGGACGAAAAGGUCCGUGCUAAUACCAUGGAUCCAUGACGGUACCCGCAGAAGCAGCACCGGCUAACUCCGUUCCAGCAGCCGCGGUAAUACGUAGGGUGCAGGCGUUAAUCGGAAUUACUGGGCGUAAAGCGUGCGCAGGCGGUCUGCUAAGACAGGUGUGAAAUCCCCGGGCUUAACCUGGGAACUGCGCUUGUUACUGGCAGGCUGGAGUGUGGCAGAGGGGGGUGGAAUUCCACGUGUAGCAGUGAAAUGCGUAGAGAUGUGGAGGAACACCGAUGGCGAAGGCAGCCCCCUGGGCUAACACUGACGCUCAUGCACGAAAGCGUGGGGAGCAAACAGG